rnacentral:rRNA from 1 species
ACGGGGGCAGCAGUGGGGAAUAUUGGUCAAUGGGGGAAACCCUGAACCAGCAACGCCGCGUGAAGGAUGAAGGUUUUCGGAUUGUAAACUCCUUUGACGAGGAACGAUAAUGACGGUACCUCGAAAACAAGCCACGGCUGACUACGUGCCAGCAGCCGCGGUAAUACGUAGGUGGCGAGCGUUGUCCGGAUUUACUGGGUGUAAAGGGCGUGUAGGCGGAUCGACAAGUCAGAUGUGAAAACCCGCGGCUUAACUGCGGGACUGCAUUUGAAACUGUAGGUCUUGAGUACUGGAGAGGAAAGCGGAAUUCCCGGUGUAGCGGUGGAAUGCGUAGAUAUCGAGAGGAACACCAGUGGCGAAGGCGGCUUUCUGGACAGCAACUGACGCUGAGGCGCGAAAGCGUGGGGAGCAAACAGGAUUAGAUACCCUGGUA